AACUGAGAGUAGGGGGAUGUGGACAUUUUUGUGAAGGUGCAAUGUGAGUUGACUGGAAGAAUGUCUAUUACAGAUCCUAAUUGAAGUAGCGAUUAUCCAGGCUUGUAUCCUGGGGGCUGAUGAGGAGUAGGGUUUCUGGACAACUUAAACAGAUCCAGAGUUAGUCGAUCCUAAUCUCAAUAAUGGGAGAAAGGGAGUACAGUUGAUAUUCUGUAACUGACAACAGUUCGCGGCAACGCAUACUAUUUUUCUCCGCCAAUCUUAUACCGUUGGUAGGGAUCUCUUUCCUACAUGACAGUACUAAUACCCAGGGAAACUGGUCAUCAGGCGAACUGCGGCGUUCUGCUGGCAAAACAUAGCUUCGGUUAUGUCAAUGGCUAUUGGAUUGGUCCAUGAAGCGAAAAAUAGUUUACUGUGUCACUCGUACCGAUAACCGCAUCAGGUCUUCUAGGUAAGUAGCCUAUGGCCAUUGAGGCAUGAUAGUUCAGGGAAUUCGGCCAAUUAGAGCUGUAACUUCGGGAUAAAGCUUGGCUCUGAUGAAAAUCAGAACCGAUUGUUACGCGGAGAGCCCAACUGUUUAAUAAAAACGUAGUGUCGCGCUGUGGUAGUAUAGCCAGUGAACGCGACAUGAAUCCUGCUCAGUGCUGUGUCUGUUAAUAUGGUUCAAGCCAACGAAGCACCGGUAAAUAGCUGGGGUAACUAUGACUCUUAUCAAAGUAGCGAAAUACCUCGUCACUUAAUUAGUGACCUGCAUGAACGGAGCUAUGAGGUUCUCACUGUCCCAAACUGUCUCUCAGCGAACCAACUGUAGUGGGAACGGUCACUAGAUAUCCAGCGGGGAAAGAAGACCCUGUAGAGCUUCACUUUGGUCUAGUCUUGUAUAGUUCCUGCGGGGGUGUAGACUAGGUGGGAGAGCAAUCGAUUCUGAAAAACCACUAC
rnacentral:ncRNA from 1 species